AUUGAACGCUGGCGGCAUGCCUUACACAUGCCAGUCGAACGGUAGCGGGCCUUUUGGUGCCGGCGUGAGGCGAACGGGGGAGUAAUACAUCUGAACGUGCCCGAGCUAGGGGGGUAACAAGUCCGAAACCUUGCUAAUAUCGCAUACGAUCUACGGGGGAGGACGGGGGAGCGCAACGGCUUUCGCGGACGGAGCGGCCGAUGGCAGAUUAGGUAGUUGGUGGGGUAAAAGCUUACCAAGACGACGAUCUGUAGCUGGUCUGAGAGGAUGAUCAGUCACACUGGGACUGAGACACGGCCCAGACUCCUACGGGAGGCAGCAGUGGGGAAUUUUGGACAAUGGGCGCAAGCCUGAUCCAGCCAUGCCGCGUGUAUGAUGAAGGUCUUCGGGUUGUAAACUGCUUUUGUACGGAAGGAAAAGCAUUCUUUUAAUACCGGAGGGUCAUGACGGUACCGUAAGAAUAAGCACCGGCUAACUACGUG
rnacentral:rRNA from 1 species